GGUGGAAUUCUUACCUGCUUCAAGGGACUUUAAAAAAGUCCUCGGCUGCUGCUCCAGCAACAUGGUUAGGGUGACCACCCAUCCCUAAUUGGGCGGGACAGAUGUGCAAUGGAAACAUCAAGUCCCGGUCCCGGACUGCACAACUCGAGGACAGCAUAUGUCCUGGAUUCACGGCAUCUGCAGGGAUCGGGAAACUAUGGGUUUCCCCUUGCAGGCUGGCAGCGUUCCAGCCUGCAAGGGGCUGCCAGGAGCAGGACACAGGGGGCAUUACAUGCAUGUGUGCACCUACACACACGCACUUGACCAGGAACACAGCCGGGCAGCAAGGAAAGCAGCUUCUUGUAGGCAAAUGGGGAGAGCAGCACAGCAGUGUUCUGCAAAGACCUGAAAGGAAAUGAAAGCUGACACCCUGCAGGGAAGGCGUGCUGAAUGCCAGUGUUUCCAGCUGCUGCCAACCCGGCAUGGGCGAAGUGGCAGGGAAGGCAUCUGUGUGAAGACUAAAUGUGCAGCUCCUCUGGAAAUGAAGUAUCUAUUAGGGCUCAAUAAAAAAGCUUUGAAGAAAAAUAUUUCUUUAUUAAAAAAUGGGGGUUUUUUUGUUCCCAGACUUGCAUGGAAA